rnacentral:lncRNA from 1 species
GGGCAGCAUCACCCUGAGACAAAUGUUCAAACAGUUUGUUGAAAUUAUCUUUAGACAAUCUGUGCUACUAAUCUGUCACCUUCCAGAAUCGGGGCAGGGUGAGAGACUGAUAACCAGGUGCCAGCUGACCUAGGGGCCUCUCGGGAGAUCACAUUCCCAAAACCGAUCCUGUGGUCUGAUGAGAAUCAGGCUGACCGUACUGGGAUAAACUGCUAAACUGCUCAAAGCCAGCAGCCCCUCGGAGGGACACGGUUCAAAGGCCCAGCUUCUGGCUUCUAGUAUUUGAGAUUCUUAGGAUUCUUGUCUUUCACUCUUCAUGGGCAGAGCCUUUUAGGGUGACCCUUUUUAGCCACCCACAUCACACACAGCUCCUGUUUUCUGAGUUCUUAUUAAAUGAUAGGCUUCAAACACAAAACCAUGGUGUUGUAAAGACCCCAAAGUCCUCCAAAGACUGCCAAUGUCAACAUGGUGGGAGCACUGUAUUCACAGACCUUGCCAGUGUUAAAUUUCUGCAACCCUCUCCAGACAGUGUUGACACCUGCCUUUAAUCCCAGCACUUCAGAGGAGCGUCAGGUGGAUCUCUGAGUUCAAGGCCAGCCUGGUCUACAGAUUAAGUUCCGGGACCACAGAGAGAAAACCUGUAUUAAAAGAACAACAACAAAAACAAAACAAAA